CUUUUCCACACUAUGUUCCACUUAACAAGUUUUUACCCAUUCAUUUAACUUGUCUAUAUCCCACAGACCUUAGCUUUUCCGGUGAUCAUCAUUGUUAGGCUACAUACAAACACCAGCACACAUACAUUGGCCUACGCUAAGUCCCAUUCACCCAUCAUUUUUUGGUUCCUGGGACUCUCCUUUAGCUCUCACUUUACCUUGUUUACAAAUCCUAAUCCCUCUGGGGAUUCAUUCAAACCUACCUUCCCGAUCACUGUUAACCUGAUGUCCCACUCUGUGUCCAAUGAAUCUUACAUUUAUAUGUGCGUAUUCAUUACCCUGCCUUCACACCCUCUGCCAAUCAAUCAGUAAUUCGUCUGCUGAUCCUAGCUACCUGUGAUGUGGUAAUUUUACACAGUGCUGUUCAGUUUUCUAGUUUUCCAUCAGAUGCAUACUGUAUUGUAACACAAUCCACCACUUUUUGAACCCCAUAAGCCCCUUUCUAGCCAUUUUCUCUUGUGACUUUGUACGGCAAUUUCAAUUUGCAUUAUUGCAAGUCAAAAAUCGGCAGAUUUUCUUUGUAUUUCUUUAUUUGCAUAACCUGCAUUUAAUUUCUGCUAUUUGUUCAAUCAAAAUGUCAGUGGCAUAUUAUAAUGCUGAGUCCUCAUGACCCAGCCACAUUUAAGCACAAGCUGGGAGUCCUUUGUACCCAGUAACUGAUAUUUUAUCCUUGAUGUAUACAUUUACUGAAAUACUUGAAUUCAAAUGUAAUUAUUUUGGGUCUUUAGCAUUUGAAUUGUCGUCAUGUGUGUUCUUUUGUUUAUUUCUCAGAGUAUGGAAGCUUGGAAUUGUGAAAUUUGAGAAAUAUUUUAUUAGCCAAUAUGUUUGUUGUCCAAAUUUCCACAUUCUGAGCGUGCUGUUAGAUUUCUUUGAAAACACACUUGUUUGAUCUCUUUUCCUCCCCAGCAUCUUUUAAAUAUUUAUUUAUUAUUUUCUCUUUAUGCUGGCACUAUCAAGAUUGGGAAGCCUCUAUAUGGGGAAUCACAGAUCAGAAUUGACAGCAAUAAUGAAAGGAGUGUCGUGACAAAAGCUUCCCACAGCCCAAAUGUUUUCAGUGAGAGCGCUCGACAGCGUGUGGGCAAGGAGCGUGCUCAGAAAAAGGAGAAGCCAGAGAGUCCCACAGACAACCAGCAAGUGCUGGUCAAUGGAGUAUCUUAAAUCUCAUUCCUGUAAAGUGACGUUCUCUCUAAAUUUCCUUUCAUUAACCAUACAAACCGGAUGCUUACAUGUCAUUUAGAGAAACCUUUUAGGCCAAAGACAUGAAACUCAUUUGUGCACAAUUGAUGCACAUGGUCCACGUUGUCUUUUGGUGGACAGGUGGAACAUUUGUGAUGUAACCAUUUUCAUUUCACUUAGCAAAACUCCUUUUUAAAGAAAAGAUUUACAACAGAGUAUAUUGUUUGAUCUGUGCCUUCAAUAUAACUUGCCAGAAGGGGGUAACCUUACUAUAGUUGCAGAAAUCAGGGAAGCUAAAUGAGCAGAAGACAGUUGCAUUGUAUUAUACAUCUAUGUAGAUAAAAAGUGUGGUUAAAUAUUGGGGAACCUUUACAGAAGAAUGCAUGCUUUUCAUGAUUUCAUGAUUUUCCUUAUAUAUGCAUCUAGCUGAACAGUAAAGGAUCAGAAAUCCUUGCACUGAAGUUUGUAUGGCAUUGAUCAGACUGUGGGAGGGCACUUUUUUCUUUACACCUCUGCAUUUGAUGUACAAGAGUAAAUGUAAAGAAUUAAAUAGUGUACUGUUUGAAAGGCAUAAAAUGCCUGAAGAUUGUUGCCAAACUGAUGAUUUGUAGUUAUUUAUUUUUGGGAAUGUACAGUAUUUGGGGAGGAAAAAGCUUUGUUUAUGUACCUGUCCACUAUGGGCUAUUGUGUUAACUUAGUGUAGAUGAUUAACAAAGGUAGAUUGACCUUACAGUAUAUGAAUCUGCAACAGGGGCAAUAUUUUUCUCUGUACAUAGUAGUGAAAACAAAUAAUUUGGUUUUAUGUUGAUAUUGUUUGGUUGAAGUGCAAUAUAUUUUGUAUGCAAGCAGUUUCAAUUAAUAAAGUUUGAUCUUCCUCUGCUGACUGUAGGACAAAAUUUACUUCCUGCUAAUUUGCCACCAUACAAUUUGAGUUGUAGUGGUUAUUAAAGGAAAUGACAGAACAUGAUGUUGCAGCAUAUAAAUUACAAGGCUUGCAUUGUUUUUUAUUCCGUUUUCAUUGCCAUAUGUUAUUUGGUUGUACAAGUCAUUAUAAUUUUCGGAACUACAUUGCCCCAAAGUUUGGUGACAGUCGUGAUAUCAAAACCAUCAGUGUCACCAUCGCUAUUCCUCUGAAACUGGUGCAACUUCUAGAGUCUGCACGUGCAUAAUUGAAUGCAAAAAUCCCAAAGUUACUCUGAGUGGUUCUGUGCCAUUCUGCAGAUGGUGUAACGUGAAGUAUCCCCCAACUACAAUUAAUUGGAAAUCACUGAAGUGACAAAAACUUGUCGUUUUAUGCUAUUUUGCUGUAAAAUCCCUUGACAAAUGAACAUAGAAUGAGAAUCCUUGUAGAAUGAGGUGCAGUUGGGUUUUAAGUGGCACACUAAGUUCAUAAUAAUUGCUGAAAACCCUGAUAGUGCAAACUUAUAUUUGUGGAAUGUUAAAUUUCGUAUUCUUUAAAGAGUUGUUUAUGAUUCUAUAGCUUCUAAUUUAAUUCCAUGUGUAUUGUUUUCUGUCAAGUUCAAUUAAAAGUGAAGGAUAAUCAGUGCAUUUUA